rnacentral:rRNA from 1 species
CUGAUGGCUCCCGGCGUAAAGAGUGGUUAAGGGACAAAAUAUAAACUAAAGCCGAAUGCCCUCAAGGCCGUUAUACGCAUCCGAAGGUAUGAAGCACCAUCACGAAAGUGGCUUUAACCCCCCCC